AUUGAACGCUGGCGGCAGGCUUAACACAUGCAAGUCGAGCGAGCGGCGGACGGGUGAGUAAUGUUUGGGAAUCUGCCUGAUGGAGGGGGAUAACUACGGGAAACGGUAGCUAAUACCGCAUACCAUCGGAUGAGCCCAAAUGGGAUUAGGUAGUUGGUGGGGUAAAGGCUCACCUAGCCGACGAUCCCUAGCUGGUCUGAGAGGAUGACCAGCCACACUGGGACUGAGACACGGCCCAGACUCCUACGGGAGGCAGCAGUGGGGAAUAUUGCACAAUGGGCGCAAGCCUGAUGCAGCCAUGCCGCGUGUAUGAAGAAGGCCUUAGGGUUGUAAAGUACUUUCAGCGGGGAGGCGUUACCCGCAGAAGAAGCACCGGCUAACUCCGUGCCAGCAGCCGCGGUAAUUC
rnacentral:rRNA from 1 species